rnacentral:lncRNA from 1 species
UCAGGAACAACACAGGAGCUGGUGUUCCUUGAAGUGUGCCAUAACAAUAUAGCCAUGCUGGAAUUUAGAAUCCCGAGCAAGACUCUGACACAGUUGUGAACAAGCAUCCAGGACUUCAUUCUCCACAUCUUUCAUCUUAUUCUUCCCAUCCUGUAGAGACUGGCCAUAAGUUCCAGAUUUUGGUGUUUCUUCAGAGGUUUUCAUGGAAACCACGAUCAUAAUGAUGUUCACCGUAAUCAACCCAGAAAUUCGGAGGUUGCAGGACUGAUUCUGACUCAGGGUCCAGAGCCACAAGCGACCGGGCAUCACAACACCAAGACAGAAGGCAGACAGACAGGAGCCACAGGGAGCAAGGUAACACCAU